rnacentral:rRNA from 1 species
GUGUCAGCAGCCGCGGUAAUACAGAGGUCUCAACCGUUGUUCGGAUUCAUUGGGCGUAAAGGGUGCGUAGGCGGUCGGGUAAGUCGGAUGUGAAAUCCCAGGGCUCAACCCUGGAACUGCAUUCGAUACUGCCUGGCUAGGGUACUGGAGAGGAGACUGGAAUUUACGGUGUAGCAGUGAAAUGCGUAGAUAUCGUAAGGAAGACCAGUGGCGAAGGCGAGUCUCUGGACAGUUACCGACGCUGAGGCACGAAGGUCAGGGGAGCAAACGGGAUUAGAUACCCCAGUAGUCC